rnacentral:rRNA from 1 species
AGGGUAUUAUUGGUUGAACAAACCAUCUUUAUGUGACUUUUGCGCCACAUAGAUUCCCUAAGCCAACAUCGAGGUGCCAACCCCUAUUAUUGAUAAGGACUCUUUAAUAGGAUUAGCCUGUUAUCCCUAAGGUAGCUUGUUCUUGUGAUCUUUAUUAAGGGUCAGUAUUUAGAUUAAUUUAUCUUUUGAUAAGGGAUGAUUAGUUUUCCCUGGUCGCCCCAACCGAAUUUUAUUAAAGUUUAAGUCUUUAUUAAAAUGAAGCUCUAUAGGGUCUUCUUGUCCUUCGAUUAAAUCUAACACUCUUCAGUUAGAGAUUAAUUUUUAUAGGGCUUAUAGAGACAGUUUUUAUUUCGUUGGUCCGUUCAUUCUAGCCCACAAUUAAUGGGCAAGUGAUUAUGCUACCUUUGCACGGUUAGGAUACCGCGGCCGUUGAAUAAUAUCACUGGGCAGGAAUUACUUCUUAUUUAUUGCAAGAAGCA